UAGAAGCCUUCGGGUUAGGGAUAGCAGCGAAAAUCAUUUUUUGUGAAACAAAAAAUAUUGAAGCGAAUAGCCCGGCGCCGC
rnacentral:sRNA from 2 species